rnacentral:misc_RNA from 1 species
AACCAUAGAAACCUGCGGAGUACCUGCGGAAGGAUCAUCAUUGAAAACAAAUUUGGACAAGGGGAUUGUGAUUGACGGGGGAGGGGAAGGUUUUAUUUCCUGAGCCUUGAGAGAACAACCUCUUGGACAAACAACCAAUCUUCAUGACUAGGAAAAAACACAGUAAAGUAAACCAGUGGUUUGGGGGGGGGCAUAAACAACAAACAAGUUCUUGUCUGACAAGUAGUGUUUGGUGAUACU